rnacentral:lncRNA from 1 species
AGUCACAUCCUUUGAGAGCUUGUGUUAAAAAACACCAUGCAAACGCCAGGACUGCUGUUGCAGAGGCAGAAUUCCUUAGGAAAAGCAGGAAGAACCGUCGUUUGCAUCCCUUGGAGCUGCUGGGUGUUUUCUAAACCGGGUUCACUCCAUCAUGUCAAACAUGCUGCUCUUCCAGAAGUGCUUUUUCUGCCCAAAACUGCACCUUAACGAUUUAAUUGCAUGGAAAUUGCUGAAAUCUGUAGUUGUUCACAGGCAUUUUCCAAGUCCUCGGGUGAACGGGUGCAGGCUGCUUGUUGGAAAUAAAAAUCCUUAAGUUUUAAUCUUCCUUUGGAACCAUGGAAAACCUCAGGCAGCUGAGCAUGACAAACGUUGGAGGCAAGACUUCAGAAAUUCCAGUGCUCACAGAAAUAUUUCAUCCUGCUGAAUGCAGCUUUGGAUAUUUUCUGGUUUGUGUAACCAGAGUAGAAGCAGAAGCUCCAGGCGAGAGAAACAACAAGAACCUGAACUAAGGUGAGUAAAACUCCCGGUACCAGCAAAGUGCUCUUGUAUUUCCAAGAGAAGCAGCGCCGGUAUCAAUCCUCCUGAAAUGAGACAUCAGCCAGCCAAUUUCAAGGCUUGUCUUGCAGAAAAUGGGGCACAAGAUUCAGCAGCUGAGCAGUCCUGCUGACCUCAAAUUUAAUUUGCUCCGAGGUGAUAUAAGAGCAGGAUAAUACGACGGUUGUUG